AUACGGAGGAUGCAAGCGUUAUCCGGAUUUAUUGGGUUUAAAGGGUCCGCAGGCGGACCAGUCAGUCAGUGGUGAAAUCCCAUCGCUUAACGAUGGAACUGCCAUUGAUACUGCUGGUCUUGAGUCUAGUUGACGUAGGCGGAAUAUGACAUGUAGCGGUGAAAUGCGUAGAUAUGUCAUAGAACACCAAUUGCGAAGGCAGCUUACGAAACUACGACUGACGCUCAUGGACGAAAGCGUGGGUAGCGAACAGGAUUAGAUACCCUGGUAGUCCACGCCGUAAACGAUGAUCACUCGAUGUCAGCGAUAUACUGUUGGUGUCUUAGCGAAAGUUUUAAGGAUCCACCUGGGGAUACGUUCGCAAGAAUGAAACUCAAAGGAAUUGACGGGGCCCGC
rnacentral:rRNA from 1 species